GUACAACAAAAAAGAUGGUCUCCGGUAUCAAAUAUAUUUCACAGGGCAAACAAAAAUUUAGCAACCACAAAAAGUGAUUUUUAAGCAUAUUUUCUAGCUGGGAGUUUAUCUUUCAUUCAUUAUCCAACUCAAACCCAGAUGGCAGCUCAAAUCUGUUGUUCUUACUUUCAUCAGUUGCAACAACUUCAUCAGCAUCAUCCAUAGCAGAAUCCUUCUUGAUAUAAUCUACCUUAAAGUCGUAAUCACCGUCCAUAUCAAUGGCAGUUGAGGGCUUGUCUUUCUUCCUCCUUUUCUUCU
rnacentral:misc_RNA from 1 species